GAAAAACUACAAAUUCAUUGCUGCAAGACAGUCUGAAUUCGAGGUUCUUUCCCAAGAAGAACAUAAAGUCACCCUAGUGGAGACUGGUUCAGAGGCACUUGAGGAUGAGAUCCAGGCCCUCAGGGAAGAGAAUAAAAGACUGCGGGACAAGCAGAGUGUAGGAACGUCCGCAGCCAUUAAAGAUCUUAAGAUUCCAGUCAAGGCCUUGAGCACGGAAAACACCAGACUGUGCAAAAUGGCACUGAAAGGCAACUAUCUCUUCAUUUAUGCAAUCUUAUACAAUUGUAUAAAUCACUAUCUACUUAUUUUUGGUGUUAAUCUUAAAGAUAUAUCCUUGUCCACAUUUAAGGAGAAAUCUACAGAUGUAGUAUAGGGUUUUCCUGUAGGUAAAAGAUCUAGCCUAGGGCUAAACACUGGAGUGGGCUUUACCUCUACUCCCCACGGAGGUAAAAUUGGUAUAGCCAAAAACCUGUAAUGCCUUGAGAACCCCUCACUAACACAUUUUGCUAGACUUAAAGACACCAAAAAAUGAGUGGAGGUGUAUUUUGUUCUUUAGAUCUUAAGCAUUUACAACUUGUUUGCAUUCCUGUUGUAGUACAUUCUGUGGGCCAUAUUUUCCAGAAAUUCCAUCACUAUUAGUGGCUGUGAAGACCCUCAUUUUGGAUAAGAUCACAGAGAGCUCAAGCUAUGAAGGUGAAAGUGAAUAUGAGGCCAGUGUUGCUCAACCAUCACCUGCUCAACUCGCAUCUCCCAAACCAGCAUCAGUGCAACUAGGGAAUGAUGACUCCACCAGAGUGUCUGCUCAUUGUUGGGGGACUGCAAAAGCACAACCCACAGCGAAAGGAAUGGCCCGCACCCUCUUGCUGGGCCUGUUCAGUGUUGAUGUCCUGCUGAAGUCCAACCUGACAGGAGGGGUCCACAAGGUCAAUCCAUCUGGAGAGCGACGUCAGCCUCUGGACCCCAAAAAGCUUAAAGCUUUACUUGAGGCAGUUGUUCAGCAACACCCAGGGGCGAAGAUUUCAGAUAUACGAACGGCCAUAAACAAAAGGAUCUGUGAGUUAAGACACAAGAAAAAGUCCAUGGACAGCUGAAGGACUGGCCAAGGCUGCAGAGCGAGCCUUGAUAACUUAACAUGUUGGAACCAAAACACUGUGCAUUGUUGUUCUGUUUUUUCCAGUGAGUGAUUGCUCUGUUUUUUGUUGCACUGAAGACAUUUUCUUAUUACAAUGACAGUUGUCCUAUUGGAAAUGUUUUUAAUUUUUUAAGUAAUUUUGUUCAUUUAUAGUUGUUUUUUCCAUGUAUUGAAUCACAUAAAAUAUAACAUCUGUAAAAAAUAUAUGUUUUAGCUUGGAACUGCUGAUGUUGACAUGGCACAUCCCUACUUGCAAACAGUUUGCCAUUUGCUAAGCACAUUAUGCACAACCAUGGAGACAUGCCUUUCGUUUUGUUUGUUGGUCAAUGUCCCUUCAGCAGCUGCUUUUGAAAUAAACCUCAUUUAGUUUAUGUGAACUAUAUUGAUG